UACGGAAGGUCCGGGCGUUAUCCGGAUUUAUUGGGUUUAAAGGGAGCGUAGGCCGGAGAUUAAGCGUGUUGUGAAAUGUAGACGCUCAACGUCUGCACUGCAGCGCGAACUGGUUUCCUUGAGUACGCACAAAGUGGGCGGAAUUCGUGGUGUAGCGGUGAAAUGCUUAGAUAUCACGAAGAACUCCGAUUGCGAAGGCAGCUCACUGGAGCGCAACUGACGCUGAAGCUCGAAAGUGCGGGUAUCGAACAGGAUUAGAUACCCGGCCGGCUGACUGACU
rnacentral:rRNA from 1 species